UACGUAGGGUGCAAGCGUUAAUCGGAAUUACUGGGCGUAAAGCGUGCGCAGGCGGUUUUGUAAGACUGUUGUGAAAUCCCCGGGCUCAACCUGGGAAUGGCGAUGGUGACUGCAAGGCUAGAGUUUGGCAGAGGGGGGUAGAAUUCCACGUGUAGCAGUGAAAUGCGUAGAUAUGUGGAGGAACACCGAUGGCGAAGGCAGCCCCCUGGGUCAAAACUGACGCUCAUGCACGAAAGCGUGGGGAGCAAACAGG
rnacentral:rRNA from 1 species